GGCAUACCUCAUUUUACUGUGCGUCAUUUUAUUGUGCUUGCAGAUACUGUGUUUUUUACUCGAAGAACUGGCAGCCCUGCAUCAAGCAAUGGAUUCCAUUUUUCCAACAGCAUGUUCUCAAUUCAUUAGCAGUUUUUGGCAAUAAAAUAUUUUUACUCAAGGUUCCAUUCUUCCCACCAGGAGAAGAGAUGGGAUUCAGCACAAGCUCCCUGCAGCUCGUGGACCAGGGGUUAUUUCCCACUUCAAGGAGAGGAGGAAGUUGAUUGGUCCCGCCUGGGUCAAGUGUUCAUUCCUGGCCCAAUCAGCUGUGGCUGCAUGACGGGAUCAAAGGCACUUUUCAUGACCAUGAGUGGCAUGAAAUUAAGGAAUUUACCUAUUCCUUGAUUCAUCUGAGCAAUGUGUUAUUGUACUCAAUGUGCAGGUUUUGCACAUCUUUUGUUAUAUUUAGCCCUAAGUAUUUCAUAUUUUGUUGCUGGUAUGGUAAAUGGUAUUUUCAAAAAUUGUCUAUUUCAUGAUUAUUCAUUUUUUGUUGAUAGUAAAUAUAAUUGGUUUCUAUAUACUGACCAUGUUUCCUGCAGUAUUAUUUAACCUAAUUAUUAGUUCUAGUAAUGUUUUUAUAGAUUUCAUCACAUUUUCUGUAUAGACCAUUAUGCCAUCUGUGAAUAAAAAUAGUUUUAUGUCUUUCUAAACUAUAUAACUAUUUAAAAUUCAUGCAUUUAUUUAAAUAUAUAUACAUUUACUUUUUUACUUACAAAUUUAGGCAAUAUUGCACUGGCCAGAACAGUCAGUAAAAUAUUGAAUAAAAGUAGUAAUAAUGGACAUCCUUUGUUGUUUCUGAUCUUAGGGUAAAAACAUUAAUUCUUUCACCAUUAAGUAUGAUGUUAUGUGUAUGUUUUCACAGAUAACCCCUUAUCAAGUUAAUAAACAUUUCUUCUAUUACAGUUCUUGAGCGUUUUCUAUUAAGGGAGAGGACUGAAUUUUCUCAAAUGUUUCCUCUACACCUACUGAGAUGGUAAUAUGUCUUUUUACCCUAAUAUGGUGAUUUUCAAAUGUUAAAUAAAUCUUGUAUUCUACAGAGAAAACAUACUUGGCCAUGAUGUUAUAUUCAUCUGUGUUGUUGCAUGAUACUUGAUUAAAUUUUGUUUAGCAUUUGUCUAUCUAUUUCAUGAAGUAUAUUAGUAUUCUUUCAUUUUCUCUAAUGUCUUUGAUUUUGUUAUCAGGGUAAUACUGGUCUUGUACAAUGAGUUUGGAAUUCUUUUCUUUGCAACUUUUUAGAAGAGUUUGCAUGUUUGUGUAUGACUUAUGUUAUUUCUGUAUUACUUACUUGGUAGAAUUAUCCAGUGAAAUAACCUGUACCUCGAAUGUUGUCUGUGAGAUGUUUACCUAUAAAACCUAUAGUAAUAUAAUCACAUGUGUGGUGAUUCCAAGAAUAUAAUUUUCUUCAGUAAGCUUUGUCAGCACAUGCCUUAGGAGUUACAUGUCAAUUUUAUCCAACUCAUUAUAUUUGUUGUUAGAGUUAUGCAUAAUUUCCUUUCAUUAUCUUUUGAAUAUUUCAAGAAUAUGUAAUUACUUAACCUCUUUUAUUCUUGCUACUGGCAAUUUGUAUCUCUUUUUCUGUCUUUCUUUUUUAUUGUUCCUAAUGAGUUUGGCUAGAAGUUUAUCCAUUUUAAAAAUCUGAAAGAACUAGCUUUUGGUUUCAUAAUGAUCACUUUUUAAAAAUUUUUCUUAAGGUAGAAAGCUAAAAUUAUUGCUUUGAAAUCUUUUUUCACAAAUUUUCUAAUUUGGGGUGUAUGUGCUAUAAUUUGUCCACCUGAGUCCUGCUUUAGUGACAUCACACACAUUUUAAUAAAUUACGGUUUCGGUUUCAUUUAGUUCAAAAUACUUUCUAAUUUCCCUUUCAGUUUUUUCUUUGAUCUGUGCAUUAUUUAGAAGAGUGCUACUUAUGUUCUGACAGUUUGGUGGAUUUUCAAGAUAUCUUUUUGCUAUUUGCUGGGAACAUUUGUUUGUAUGACAGGAAUCAUUUCAGAUUUAUUAAGAUUUGUUUAUGAUCCAGAAUACAGUUUAAUUUGGUACGUGUUUUUUAUGCACUUGAAAAGAUUAUAUAUUCUGAUAAUAUUGGGUGGAACAUUCUAAGGUCUACUUGAUUGAUAUUGUUGUUCAAGUCUUCUAUAUCUUUGCUGUUAUCUUUCCUCUUUGUUCUAGAAAUUAUUAACCAGAAUUGUGUAUUUGUUUAUUUCUCCUGUAGUUUUGUAAGUUUUGCUUCAUGUAUUUUGGAGAUCUUUAAUCAAGCACACGCAUGUGUAGUAAUAUUGUCCUUUUGAGGAAUUUUCCC
rnacentral:lncRNA from 1 species